GCAGCUCCUCUUUCAGAGGAAGAGGAGGAGCUGGAUGAUCAUCUGACUCUGCAGCCACGUUAUCAACAGAAGCUGUUACAACUGAAGAAACAGGACAGUGUAAACCUCUGUCUAGACUGCCAAAAGAAGACAAAAGGAGAGGACGUGUGUUUUCUUACUGAUGUGUGUUCUGCGUGGCGGGUCUCUGUCUGAUGGUUUGGAGCUGAACCGAGCAGCCUGUGGCGCCCACCUCACUCUACACAGCUCCCCGUGGAUCCGCUGAACAUGCAAACAUACACAACCACACAUAAAUCAUAAAUCCUCA